rnacentral:rRNA from 1 species
UACGUAGGGGGCAAGCGUUGUCUGGAUUUAUUGGGCGUAAAGAGCGUGUAGGCGGCCAGUUAGGUCCGUUGUGAAAACUCGAGGCUCAACCUCGAGACGCCGAUGGAAACCAACUGGCUAGAGUCCGGAAGAGGAGAGUGGAAUUCCUGGUGUAGCGGUGAAAUGCGCAGAUAUCAGGAAGAACACCCGUGGCUAAGGCGGCUCUCUAGUACGGUACUGACGCUGAGACGCGAAAGCGUGGGGAGCGAACAGG